rnacentral:rRNA from 1 species
UACGUAGGUGGCAAGCGUUGUCCGGAAUUAUUGGGCGUAAAGCGCGCGCAGGCGGUCCUUUAAGCCUGAUGUGAAAUCCCACGGCUCAACCGUGGAAGGUCAUUGGAAACUGGGGGACUUGAGUACAGAAGAGGAAAGCGGAAUUCCAAGUGUAGCGGUGAAAUGCGUAGAGAUUUGGAGGAACACCAGUGGCGAAGGCGGCUUUCUGGUCUGUAACUGACGCUGAGGCGCGAAAGCGUGGGGAGCAAACAGG